GAAGAGGAAAAGCAAAAGAGAUGGAUUAGUUUGGCGGUUCAGGCGCUGUGGAUGUUCUCUUGCUUAAACCCUUGCCAGAGUUUGUUUCCUUUCUUGUUUGAUGCACCGGGAGAGUUUGAAGAGUUUUUGGGUGGUCCCUUGUGGGUUUUACGAUUGCAGACUUGUAGAACAGAAUGGGCGAUCUGGGCAUUGAGGCGUGGAAGCCGCUCCUAGGUUUGUCUACGUCGCUUGAGGGCAAAAGGAGGAGCAAGAAGAAAGUGCUCGAGAAUGAAGGUGAAAUACAAAGGAGUGAAUGCCUCAGAUCUCUGAGGGAUAUUUCCCUUGCACUUGCUGAGAUGCCUGCACGUGGUGAUCUAACAGAAGUAGGAGAUUCUUGAACUCUUGAAAUCAAUCUGGCAAAUUCUAGGAAUCACAAGGACUAUCCAUGGUAU